GACGAACGCUGGCGGCGUGCUUAACACAUGCAAGUCGAACGGAAAGGCCCUGCUUUUGUGGGGUGCUCGAGUGGCGAACGGGUGAGUAACACGUGAGUAACCUGCCCUUGACUUUGGGAUAACUUCAGGAAACUGGGGCUAAUACCGGAUAGGAGCUCCUGCUGCAUGGUGGGGGUUGGAAAGUUUCGGCGGUUGGGGAUGGACUCGCGGCUUAUCAGCUUGUUGGUGGGGUAGUGGCUUACCAAGGGUUCGACGGGUAGCCGGCCUGAGAGGGUAGACAGGCACAUGAGGACUGAGAGAGGGACCAGACGGGAACGGGAGGCAGAAGGGGGGAAUAUGACACAGCGGGCCGAAGCCUGAGGCAGAAGCGCCGCGUGCGGGAAGACGGGUUUCGGGUUGUAAACCGCUUUCGCCUGUGACGAAGCGUGAGUGACGGUAAUGGAUAAAGAAGCACCGGCUAACUACGUG
rnacentral:rRNA from 1 species